GACGAACGCUGGCGGCGUGCCUAAUACAUGCAAGUUGAGCGAUGAAGAUUGGUGCUUGCACCAAUUUGAAGAGCAGCGAACGGGUGAGUAACGCGUGGGGAAUCUGCCUUUGAGCGGGGGACAACAUUUGGAAACGAAUGCUAAUACCGCAUAACAACUUUAAACAUAAGUUUUAAGUUUGAAAGAUGCAAUUGCAUCACUCAAAGAUGAUCCCGCGUUGUAUUAGCUAGUUGGUGAGGUAAAGGCUCACCAAGGCGAUGAUACAUAGCCGACCUGAGAGGGUGAUCGGCCACAUUGGGACUGAGACACGGCCCAAACUCCUACGGGAGGCAGCAGUAGGGAAUCUUCGGCAAUAGACGAAAGUCUGACCGAGCAACGCCGCGUGAGUGAAGAAGGUUUUCGGAUCGUAAAACUCUGUUGGUAGAGAAGAACGAUGGUGAGAGUGGAAAGCUCAUCAAGUGACGGUAACUACCCAGAAAGGGACGGCUAACUACGUG
rnacentral:rRNA from 1 species